GACCGCACCCCAUGGCCACCUCCCGCGCCACAUUCUUCCCCGUCGACGGUAAGGCAGCGCCGCCCUGGCCUCCAAUCCCACCGCCAACCCGGCCGCCAAUCCCACGCGCCGGCCGCCGAGGUUGGAGAUCAAGAGGAGGAGGUGGAGCAAGGGAAAUUUCCGUAGACUUCGCCGACCGAAAGGAGAGAGAGAGGAGAGAGGAGCCUUCGUCGACCCCCGCCGCCGCCGCCAGCAAGGUGUUCGGGUAGCACCAGGCCAUUCUCCAUUUGUUGUCCGGCCGGUGGAGUCAAGCGAAGUUCAGAUGUGGGAGCCCAGCUUCCAAGGUGUAGCAGACUGGAAGACAACCGCUGCUGUUUAACUUGUGUAUUUCAGGCUUCGGUUGGUGUUUAUAAUUUUAAUGUGAAAGUUCUCUUUGUCCGGUAAGAGAAGCUCGUACUUUAGUGUGUUAGUUUAAACGUGUGAUACGUGUUUAUUUUAUUGCCUGCCUAAGUGAGGUCUGCUAUGUACGUGCCUCUCUAGUAGUGAGCUUGACUAGGUGUUUUUUAAUGUCCUCUCUAGUAGUUCUGAUGCUUUUUGUGGAAGUGCACAUUCGUGUAUGUGAAAGUUCAUUUUAUUCU